GGGGCUGAUUCUGGAUUCGACGGGAUUUGCGAAACCCAAGGUGCAUGCCGAGGGGCGGUUGGCCUCGUAAAAAGCCGCAAAAAAUAGUCGCAAACGACGAAAACUACGCUUUAGCAGCUUAAUAACCUGCUUAGAGCCCUCUCUCCCUAGCCUCCGCUCUUAGGACGGGGAUCAAGAGAGGUCCAACCCAAAAGAGAUCGCGUGGAAGCCCUGCCUGGGGUUGAAGCGUUAAAACUUAAUCAGGCUAGUUUGUUAGUGGCGUGUCCGUCCGCAGCUGGCAAGCGAAUGUAAAGACUGACUAAGCAUGUAGUACCGAGGAUGUAGGAAUUUCGGACGCGGGUUCAACUCCCGCCAGCUCCACCA
rnacentral:tmRNA from 1 species